rnacentral:rRNA from 1 species
GGUUAAGCGACUAAGCGUACACGGUGGAUGCCCUGGCAGUCAGAGGCGAUGAAGGACGUGCUAAUCUGCGAAAAGCGUCGGUAAGGUGAUAUGAACCGUUAUAGCCGGCGAUGUCCGAAUGGGGAAACCCAGUGCAAUUCGUUGCACUAUCGUUAACUGAAUCCAUAGGUUAACGAGGCGAACCGGGGGAACUGAAACAUCUAAGUACCCCGAGGAAAAGAAAUCAACCGAGAUUCCCCCAGUAGCGGCGAGCGAACGGGGAGCAGCCCAGAGCCUGAAUCAGCAUGUGUGGUAGUGGAACGGUCUGGAAAGGCCGGCGAUACAGGGUGACAGCCCCGUACACAAAAUUGCAUGUGCUGUGAGCUCGAUGAGUAGGGCGGGACACGUGGUAUCCUGUCUGAAUAUGGGGGGACCAUCCUCCAAGGCUAAAUACUCCUGACUGACCGAUAGUGAACCAGUACCGUGAGGGAAAGGCGAAAAGAACCCCGGCGAGGGGAGUGAAAAAGAACCUGAAACCGUGUACGUACAAGCAGUGGGAGCCUCUU